UCCUGGCUUAGGAUUAACGCUGGCGGCGUGCCUAACACAUGCAAGUCGAACGAAAUAUCUUCGGAUAUUUAGUGGCGAACGGGUGAGUAAUGUACAGGUAAUGUACCUUCGUACUGCGAAUAACAAGCUGAAAAGUUUGCUAAUACGGAAUAGUUUCCUUCGAGGGCAUCCUUAAAGGAAUAAAGAUUUAUCGUGCGGAGAUCAGCCUGUAUCCUAUUAGUUAGUUGGUGGGGUAAUGGCCUACCAAGACGACGAUGGGUAACUGGUCUGAGAGGAUGAGCAGUCACAUUGGAACUGAGAAACGGUCCAAACUCCUACGGGAGGCAGCAGUGAGGAAUUUUGCGCAAUGGGGGAAACCCUGACGCAGCAACGCCGCGUGAGUGAUGACGGCCUUCGGGUUGUAAAGCUCUGUCGUGUGUGACGAGUAGGGACGGUAACACACAAGGAAGCCUCGGCUAACUACGUGCCAGCCGCGGC
rnacentral:rRNA from 1 species